UACGUAGGGUGCAAGCGUUAAUCGGAAUUACUGGGCGUAAAGCGUGCGCAGGCGGUUUUGUAAGUCUGUCGUGAAAUCCCCGGGCUCAACCUGGGAAUUGCGAUGGAGACUGCAAGGCUAGAAUCUGGCAGAGGGGGGUAGAAUUCCACGUGUAGCAGUGAAAUGCGUAGAGAUCAGGCGGAACACCCGUAGCGAAGGCGGCCAGCUGGGCCGUCCCUGACACUGAGGCGCGACAGCGUGGGGAGCAAACAGG
rnacentral:rRNA from 1 species